rnacentral:rRNA from 1 species
AGAAUCAACGCUGGCGGCGUGCCUCAGACAUGCAAGUCGAACGAUUAAAGCUCCCUUCGGGGAGUGCAUAGAGUGGCGCACGGGUGAGUAACACGUAAGUAAUCUACCUUCGAGUGGGGAAUAACGUCCGGAAACGGACGCUAAUACCGCAUAAUGCAGCGGCAUCGCAAGAUGACAGUUGUUAAAGAUUUAUCGCUUGAAGAGGAGCUUGCGGCAGAUUAGCUAGUUGGUAAGGUAAUGGCUUACCAAGGCUACGAUCUGUAACCGGUCUAAGAGGACGGUCGGUCACACUGACACUGAAUAACGGGUCAGACU